rnacentral:rRNA from 1 species
UACAGAGGUCCCAAGCGUUGUUCGGAUUCAUUGGGCGUAAAGGGUGCGUAGGCGGCGCGGUAAGUCGGGUGUGAAAUCUCGGAGCUUAACUCCGAAACUGCAUUCGAUACUGCCGUGCUUGAGGACUGGAGAGGAGACUGGAAUUUACGGUGUAGCGGUGAAAUGCGUAGAUAUCGUAAGGAAGACCAGUGGCGAAGGCGGGUCUCUGGGCCGAUACUGACGCUGAGGAGCGAAAAGCGUGGGGGAGCGAACAGG